UUUUACGAGUUUUUUUUUACUGUACUUGUCUCAUUCAAAAUCUUAAAGUUUUAUUCUUGCUUAAAUUUUCAUUGUUUCUUUAAAUUAUAUAUAAGUUUUGUUUUACUAGAUGUUCUAUUUAUUGUAGUGAUUGAAUUUAAUUAUCAAGUUAUUUUGGAAUUAGUAAUUGAUUAUAGUAUUGGCAUAAUUCGUGCCAGCAGCCGCGGUUAUACGAUUAAUGCAAAUGAAUAUUUUUGGUUUUGUAGUUAAAUGUUUACUUGAGUUUUGUUAUGUAUUUUAUUAGGUGAAAUUUUAUUUUUUUGUAUAGCUCUUAUUUUUGAUCUAUGAAACUUAAACAAUAAACUAGGAUUAGAUACCCUAUUAUUUUGAGCGUUAAUUUUGUUUUACCUGGGUAUUAAUAGUUAAGUUCUUUAAACCCAAAGAAUUUGGCGGUAUUUCAUUCCAUUCAGAGGAACCUAUCUUGUAAUUGAUAGUACACGAUUAACUUUACUUAAUUUAUUUGUUUGUAUAUCUCCGUUAUCGGGAAAUCUUUUUGGAGUUAUAAUUUUCUUGUUUUUUUAUUAAAAUUUAUUUCAGGUCAAGGUGCAGCUUAUAAUUAAGUUUUUGACGGGUUACAAUAAUUUUAUAUUAUUAUGGAUUUCUUUUUGGAAUAUUUUAAUGAAGGUGGAUUUGAAAGUAAUUUAAUUUAUUUAAUUUAAUUGAUAUUGGCUCUGAAGUGUGUACACAUCGCCCGUCACUCUCAUUAUUGAUUAUUAUUUUUAUAAUCAGUUAAUAUGAGAUAAGUCGUAACAUAGUAGAUGUACUGGAAAGUGUAUCUAGUAAGUUUAUC
rnacentral:rRNA from 1 species